GACGAACGCUGGCGGCGUGCCUAAUACAUGCAAGUUGAGCGAUGAAGAGUGGUGCUUGCACCAAUUUGAAGAGCAGCGAACGGGUGAGUAACGCGUGGGGAAUCUGCCUUUGAGCGGGGGACAACAUUGGGAAACGAAUGCUAAUACCGCAUAACAACUUUAAACAUAAGUUUUAAGAUUGAAAGAUGCAAUUGCAUUACUCAAUGAUGAUCCCGCGUUGUAUUAGCUAGUUGGUGAGGUAAAGGCUCAACAAGGCGAUGAUACAUAGCCGACCUGAGAGGGGGGUCGGCCACAUUGGGACUGAGACACGGCCCAAACUCCUACGGGAGGCAGCAGUAGGGAAUCUUCGGCCAUGGACGAAAGUCUGACCGAGCAACGCCGCGUGAGUGAAGGAGGUUUUCGGAUCGUAAAACUCUGUUGGUAGAGAAGAACGUUGGUGAGAGUGGAAAGCUCAUCAAGUGACGGUAACUACCCAGAAAGGGACGGCUAACUACGUG
rnacentral:rRNA from 1 species